GUCUACGGCCAUGCCACCCUGAAUGUGCCCGAUCUCGUCUGAUUUUGGAAGCUAAGCAGGGACGAGCCUGGUUAGUACUUGGAUGGAAGACAACCUAGGAAGACCAGGUGCUGUAGGCA
rnacentral:rRNA from 1 species